rnacentral:rRNA from 1 species
GAUCAUGGCUCAGGAUGAACGCUAGCUACAGGCUUAACACAUGCAAGUCGAGGGGCAGCAUGAACUUAGCUUGCUAAGUUUGAUGGCGACCGGCGCACGGGUGAGUAACACGUAUCCAACCUGCCGAUGACUCGGGGAUAGCCUUUCGAAAGAAAGAUUAAUACCCGACUGGCAUAGUUCUUCCGCAUGGUAGAACUAUUAAAGGAAUUUCGGUUCAUCGAUGGGGAGUGCGUUCCAUUAGG